ensembl:lncRNA
UGUUUUCAUAGCAACAGCAGCAUGGCUAAACGCAAGUACGACAGCGAGUACAUUAAAUAUGGAUUUUCCUACAUCGAAGACAAAGGAGUCCAAAAGCACGCAUCUGAAUAAACUUUUCGAGCGGUUUAGCGACUACUUUCCCGAUAAACAACCCGAGGACGACUGGGUGCGCGACCCGUUUGGAAUAAACAUGGAAAGCAUCACGUUGCCUAGCAGCGAUUAAUGUCAGCUGGUGGAGCUAUCAUGUGACCGCACUCUCAGAAAGAAAUUCACAGAGGUUUCCCAGAGACUAUGGGUUGAGGAGGAAUUGGAAAUUUGUCGGCUUAGACCUGGUGUCAUUCCAUCAGUGUUAAACUUCUCGGCUCAUCUUGGAAGAGUACGUGCCAGAAAGACCACGACCAAGCAGCCUUGAGAUCUUAGACAGCGUCUCCCUCAGUUGCUGUAAAAAGUCAGUCCAUCCUGGCCGACUUCAACACCUCUUCAUGACAACUUGUUCUGCCUCUGACCUGGUGGA